AUGCAAGUCGAACGAAGUAGCAAUACUUAGUGGCAGACGGGUGAGUAACAUGUAGGUAUCUUCCCUUUGGCCUGGAAUAACACGAGGAAACUUGUGCUAAUACUAGAUAAGUCUUUACGGAGAAAGCUUUAUGCACCAUUGGAUGAGCCUGCACUUGAUUAGUUUGUUGGUGGGGUAAUGGCCUACCAAGACUGUGACCAAUAGCUGAUUUGAGAGGAUGAUCAGCCACAUUGGGACUGAGACACGGCCCAAACUCCUACGGGAGGCAGCAGUGGGGAAUCUUGCACAAUGGAGGAAACUCUGAUGCAGCGAUGCCGCGUGAGUGAAGAAGGCCCUUGGGUUGUAAAGCUCUUUCGUCGGGGAAGAAAAUGACUGUACCCGAAUAAGAAGGUCCGGCUAACUUCGUGCCAGCAGCCGCGGUAAUACGAAGGGACCUAGCGUAGUUCGGAAUUACUGGGCUUAAAGAGUUCGUAGGUGGUUGAAAAAGUUGGUGGUGAAAUCCCAGAGCUUAACUCUGGAACUGCCAUCAAAACUUUUCAGCUAGAGUAUGAUAGAGGAAAGCAGAAUUUCUAGUGUAGAGGUGAAAUUCGUAGAUAUUAGAAAGAAUACCAAUUGCGAAGGCAGCUUUCUGGAUCAUUACUGACACUGAAGAACGAAAGCAUGGGUAGCGAAGAGGAUUAGAUACCCUCGUAGUCCAUGCCGUAAACGAUGUGUGUUAGACGUUGGAAAUUUAUUUUCAGUGUCGCAGCGAAAGCGAUAAACACACCGCCUGGGGAGUACGACCGCAAGGUUAAAACUCAAAUGAAUUGACGGGGACCCGCACAAGUA
rnacentral:rRNA from 1 species